UCUGUAGCUCUGUGGUAGAGCAUUUGCCCAGCAUGCACAAGGCCCUGGGUUCAAUCCCCAGUAUUGAA
rnacentral:tRNA from 1 species